UCCCUGGUAGUAUAUCGGUUAGUACACGCGCCUGUCAUACGUCCCACGUAGCCAUCUCACCGCGCGAAAGCUGGGUUCGACUCCCAGCCAGGGAG